AAAGCGUUUCUGCCGACAGCGCAUGCGCAGGUACCUAUGAAUAUCUGCGUGUUUUUUAUUUAUUUAGUAUGCUAUGCUAUAGCAUAUUCACAGAGUUUGUAAAAACUAAAACAGCUUACAACAAUCAAAACUAAAAAAUAAAUAUUAAGAAAAAACAGCUGGGUGUACAAAAAACGAGAAGGGGAACAGACAUUUCCGAGGCGAACAGGAUCGGCUGCUACACCGGCUCCCUGAACUGCCUGACCGUCCCUGGCUCCCGGUGUCAUUGCUUUAGUUUUUGAGGACAACGUCCUUUUACUUCAGAUCAGAGGAGGGGAUGAAGGUUGCUGUCUGCCGACAUGGUGUGCUGUUGAGAAGUCUCAACAUGAUGAGGGGGGAAAUAUUAGCAUAUCUCAUGUUGUACAAAAAGAGCUGUCUUUAAGGAAUGUGCAGUUUAUGUGCACUGAUGUAAUAUGCAAGUACUGGCCAUACCUGCAGAGAGUUGUUAAUGAAUGUCCAGAAUUGUCUUCUCUCCUGGACAUGAAGCCAUUCCUGUCGGUGAUGCAUGCAAAGGCCCAUUCUUGGAAAUGUGAGGUUGUAGUUUUAAACUUACCAUUUCUAAAACAAUGGUUGAGAUUGUUUUCAGCAUUUUAAAUAUAUUAUCUUCAUAUAUUUAGAUUAAAGCAACACUAAAGACUUUUUGCUCUUUGCUCCCCCUACAGGUUAGAAGCGUAAUUGUUCAUUAGCACUGUCGUUAAUACUGCAGCAUAGCUGGCUCUGAUUGAAUUGUAGGUCUGCCGUAAAGCAAGUUUUUGUAGUUUUCACUCGAACUACAGGACCACUACCCGACGGUUGGAAACUUCUUUAGUGCUGUUUUGGCCGAUAGAGGGCUGCAAAGCGAAUGUGAAAGUGCCAUUCACCCUGUUUUGAGUGGAUGAACCACUGAAACUUUUUUGGAAACGUUAUUUUAAGGUAAAAAAAAAAAAAACUCUUUGGUGUUGCUUUAAGUGGGGUGGUUGAAACAAAAAAUGAGCAGGCACUACUCUUGGUGAAGAGGUUAAGUGAAUAGCUUCCUGUCAAGAACUGCUUUAUGCAGUAAUAUAUGACCAAAGGAGGUAAGUGUCCUAAAACAAGUUACCAAAUAUAAGCUAAAAGUACAGACAAACUUUUUAAAAUUUAUUAUAUAUUUUUAGCUACACUGUUAGAUGUCGCUGUAGAUUUAGCAGCACUGUACUGUAAAAAUCCACAGUACUAUACUGUAUGUGUACAUUACAGUACAGUACUGCAGUUCAUAAUGCAUUCUGGGUAAAUUUGUUUGAGCGGGAAAAUUUUACAGUAUCUUUUGGUCUUGAUGUAACCUUGCUGUAGCCAUUGCUGUAAUGUGCCAGGUGUACUUGCAAUAAUCAGUGAAAGUGCGCCAACGUCAAAUCACACAGACAGAGGGAGAGCACAACUCUUGGCUGCAGCUGAAGGAGGACGAUUGAUUUCUGUCAGUUCGUCUUACCAUUGCUUGUAAGCUGGAUUGGGUAAGAUGGAUCAUCUUUAAAGGCACCAGGAGUUAAGGCAGAUGUGGAGGCACAAUGGGUGACACCAGACACACACCAAGCACAUUGUUCGGACAUUCAAUCAUGACAGGAUCCAUGUGGAUGCUGUCCAUUGAGGAAAGAGUUUGUUCAGCGGUUUCUGGAUAGAAUUAAUUCCAAAGAUGGGAAAAAGUGCACAUCCAGACAAGGAGCAAGCAAAAAGACAAGGAACUUGGUGCAGAGAAAAGCUGUGGCCAUUAACCCCCAUGUGAACAGCUUCAUGCAGUCCCUGAUUGAGUUCGAAUGGACGACUUCAAAGUAAAGGCCACUGUGGUCUGUCUGCCAGUUUAAUGCAUUUAUUUUUAGUGUUAAAUGAAAUUCAAGUAGAAUAUUUAAAACUAUGGGCCAGUGUUCUUUUUACCACAGUGAAAUGUUACCUUUUAGUCGAUGAUGGACUUUAAACUGAAAACUUCAAACUAUGGAACAGUGUUCUAUUUGCCAGAGUUAAAUAUGUUACAGCAGGGGUCUCCAAACUUGUUUAUACUUGUUGAUUUUAUUUUAUGUUACUUGAUUAUAUGUUUAUUAUUGUUUAAAAUCUUGUUUUAAAUGUUUUGUUUCAAUUAAAUGUUUUUUUAAAUAAAAUUUUGAUACAAACAUUGCUUGGAUUGCCUUUUAAUUCAUUAUGUCAUGUCAAGGAUAGCAUUUUUACCAUAUUAAUAACUAUAGAUUUAAACCUAAAUCUCUAUCUAUUUUAUAUAAUAUUAUUGUAUUAACUGUAAUAAGUAAUAAAUAGUAUUUAUG